AGCAGCCGCGGUAAUUCCAGCUCCAAUAGCGUAUAUUAAAGUUGUUGCAGUUAAAAAGCUCGUAGUUGAAUUUCGAGAUCAAUUUGUUGGUCGUGCCUCGGUACGUACUGGCAAUUUUGAUUUCUCCCUUCUGAAGAACCAUGAUGUCAUUAAUUUGGUGUCAUGGGGAAUCAGGACCGUUACUUUGAAAAAUUAGAGUGUUUAAAGCAGGCUCGCGCUUGAAUACAUUAGCAUGGAAUAAUGAAAUAGGACGUUUGAUUCUAUUUUGUUGGUUUCUAGGAUCGACGUAAUGAUUAAUAGGGAUAGUUGGGGGCAUUAGUAUUCAAUUGUCAGAGGUGAAAUUCUUGGAUUUAUUGAAGACUAACUACUGCGAAAGCAUUUGCCAAGGAUGUUUUCAUUAAUCAAGAACGAAAGUUAGGGGAUCGAAGACGAUCAGAUACCGUCGUAGUCUUAACCAUAAACUAUGCCGACUAGGGAUCGGAUGAUGUUAAUUUUUAAUGACUCAUUCGCG
rnacentral:rRNA from 1 species